GAUGAAGAACGCAGUAAAAUGCGAUACUUGGUGUGAAUUGCAGAAUCCCGUGAACCAUCGAGUUUUUGAACGCAAGUUGCGCCCGAAGCCUUUUGGCCGAGGGCACGUCUGCCUGGGCGUCACGCAUCGCGUCGCCCCCCACAAUUCUCCGUAAAGGGAACAUGUGUUUUGGGGGCGGAUAUUGGUCUCCCGUGCUCAUGGCGUGGUUGGCCGAAAUAGGAGUCCUUUCGAUGGACGCACGAACUAGUGGUGGUCGUAAAAACCCUCGUCUUUUGUUUCGUGCUGUUGGUCGCAAGGUAAACUCUUUAAAAACCCCAAUGUGUCGUCUCUUGACGACGCUUCGACCGCGACCCCAGGUCAGGCGGGACUACCCGCUGAGUUUAAGCAUAUCAAUAAGCGGAGGA
rnacentral:misc_RNA from 1 species